GAUGAACGCUGGCGGCGUGCCUAAUACAUGCAAGUCGAGCGAACUGAUUAGAAGCUUGCUUCUAUGACGUUAGCGGCGGACGGGUGAGUAACACGUGGGCAACCUGCCUGUAAGACUGGGAUAACUUCGGGAAACCGAAGCUAAUACCGGAUAGGAUCUUCUCCUUCAUGGGAGAUGAUUGAAAGAUGGUUUCGGCUAUCACUUACAGAUGGGCCCGCGGUGCAUUAGCUAGUUGGUGAGGUAACGGCUCACCAAGGCAACGAUGCAUAGCCGACCUGAGAGGGUGAUCGGCCACACUGGGACUGAGACACGGCCCAGACUCCUACGGGAGGCAGCAGUAGGGAAUCUUCCGCAAUGAACGAAAGUCUGACGGAGCAACGCCGCGUGAGUGAUGAAGGCUUUCGGGUCGUAAAACUCUGUUGUUAGGGAAGAACAAGUACAAGAGUAACUGCUUGUACCUUGACGGUACCUAACCAGAAAGCCACGGCUAACUACGUGCCAGCAGCCGCAGUAAUAC
rnacentral:rRNA from 1 species